CCUUAGCAUUUGUGCUUUUCACUAAGCUUUUUCAUCAUGGAUAUCCAUGGGCUCAAUAUUAGAUAACAUUUUGAAUAUUCUUUGUCCUCUUGGCUUUUGAUUAAGAUGUUGAAUAGAUCUUAUUCAAGAAAUGGAGUGCCAUACAGAUUUGUAAACCAUCUCUGAGUAGUAAAUAUGAAGAGCAGAAAUAGCGACUUGAAACAAGGCAACACAUGUCAAGGCAAAGUAUAUUCUCAAUAGAACAUCCUACUUGAAGCACAAAUAUUUCCAAACUAUGAAACAACAGAUAUUGCCUUACAAUUCAAGAUAUAAAGUAUUGAUUACUAAUCAACUACUAGCCUGGGAGUUAGAAAAGCGAAAGCUGUAAACAGACAGGCCAGGUAAAUAUAUGAAUGAAGAAACUGAAACUAGAGGUAAACAUCAUGGGAAGUCUAAUUAUAGGGCAAGUAUUUUUCUUCAUAUCUUAUUUAACAUAGUCAAACCAUGCAAUACUUGUAGGCUUAACUAUUGUUUUCAUAGAAACAAUGUUAUUUUAAAUAUCAUGAGAUAGUGUAUUUAAGAGAUAUUGUAGUUCAAGUUUCCAUAUUUAAUCAGCUUAACAAGUGCACAUUCUCUGCUGCCAACAGUACUAAUUUGUCAUCCAACCAACAAAUAUUCCUUGGUAAUCUGCUAUCAGAUGAUGACAGUUUUCUCUUGGAAUUUCUUAUGAAUUAAAGCUUUGAAGGCCAAACUUCAGAUUUGGUUAGCAAAACCCUGAACUGCAUAUGCAUAUCAACAAAUGUUUGAUGGUCUGUUUGGUUCAUCUCUCUCACUAUGAAGAUGGCUACACAGUAUCAGCUAUCAGCAGUGCACCUCUGUGAUAUACAAGUCUUCAUUGCCAAACUGUGACCCACUUUACUGUAAUUUAAUGUCAGGAGAGUCUGGAUAUGUCAGCCCAAGGAGAUCAAGUUUGUGUCCAAGGUAAUUCUCUAAGAACAAUAGACUAAAUGGUCAAUUAAACAUUGAGGUCAAGGAAAAAGGAUGAACAUUUCAAGGCUACAGGAGGAACAUUAAACUUCUCUCUCACUGUGAAAAGAUUCUAUCGAUCUACAAAUGGUCAACAUGUUUUAUCUAAAGUUCAUCUGCUGUUUCUUCAAAUGAAGCCAUAGUCAGAAUAAGAUUCUUUUUGUUCUUCCUGAGGUUCAAAUGUAUCAGUUGUUUUUGUUGACAGAUAUCAAGUUUAGUGGCCUACCAGCAGUUUGGUGCUACAAGUCAACAACAGUCAGACUAAAUUAAAUAAAGCCAUGUCUAUUUCUACAUGAUUUUGUUGCUACUAACCUGGUGUUACUAACAACUAACUUGAAAAGGGAGAGGGGAAUUAUCAUCUUAUUCAUGUACUAUUUACAUUAGAUUUUUACCAAAUUAUUAAAUUUUGACUACCCUUACUAUUUUAACUGUGAAUAGACCUUGAUUUUAAUGAUUUAGAAUUUAGCCCCUGUUAUGUAGAGAGAGAGAGUAGUCCUUAAGGGACUGCAGGCAAGACAUGGCCUAAAUUGUGCCUAGAUUUACAUAAUUUUUUGUUGAAGUCAUUUCAGUUCUCAAUUAUUUUGUGCACCAAGCUACAAGAAAAAAUUCAAGCAAGAGAGGUCAUUACACUAAGACUUUGUCUUCUCAUAAGAAUGGAUGGCUUCUGGUCAUGUGAUAUGUGCGCUGGACUGUGUGUGGUCAUCUUGAUGCUCAUAUCUUGCCUGAUGACAUUUAUUCUGCUGGACAUUUGGUCAAGGAAGUAGAUUCUCUUCAGCUCUCAAGAAACAUUCAAAACAUGUCAAACAUUUGACAGGAAUAUCAAGCAAGUCCAGUGUACAUACCAACAUGAUGAAAAGGUAGACAACAUGAAGAUGUAAACCAACAUGAUGAAGAUGUAGACCAACAUGAAGAUGUAGACCAGCAUGAUGAAGAUGUAGACCAACAUGAAGAAGAUGUAGACCAACAUGAUGAAGAUGUAGACCAACAUGAAGAGGUAGACCAGCAUGAUGAAGAUGUAGACCAACAUGAUGAAGAUGUAGACCAACAUGAAGAGGUAGACCAGCAUGAUGAAGAUGUAGACCAACAUGAAGAUGAAAUGUAAACCAAAAAAUGGGUCAAGAGAUGUAUGGAAUAAAAUGUGACAGUCAAUUCCUAGAGGCGAAGACACAGACACACCGGGUCUAUUAGAGAUUUUCCUUCUCUACCAUCAUUUAGAGACUUCUUUUUGCUCUAAGGGAACCUGUCAUUAUCUUUUGAUUGCUAAUUGGCAUUGAUGUUUUUACAUUCCUACUGCGUCUGAAAGAAAUUAACAUUUCCCUAAUGCUACUUCAAAACCAGACCUUCUCAAGACAAUUUUAGUGACCAAGCUGCAAUAUGGGACUCAGUAGGAAACAAUGAAGAAUGCUCCUAACCUCAGGUUGAGUACCCAUGCUCACCUACUAGAGUGGCGACAAAUACUUCUACACCCACAGUUAUACAUCCUGAACCCUGUAACCCAUCCUCACAACAUGGUUACAUUACCGGAAGUGGUCGCAAGGUCAGAAAACCUAACAGAUACAAUGGAUAAAACAAUGAACAGGUACAAGUACUCAAGUGAUGUACUUUGUGAGAACUAUUUAGGUGGAAUCACCAUAAUUGACUUGUAAAUCUUGUUCUAUGUUUAGGUAUAUCUUGACAAUCAGUCCAGUCAUUUGUUCAUUUUUUUUUUUUUUUAAAUAUUCCUUUUUUUUUCCCUCAAUCUUCUUGUUGUUUCAGUUACAUGUUUUUGUAUUUUAAAGGAGGAAGGUGCUGUGGUAUAUUAUCUUUAUUAUUAUUGUACCAGUAUUAAGCAAACUUGUAUAUCUUUAUUUAUUCAUGAAUUCUAAAGCAGAACAUCACUCCCACCGGAAAAUGUUGUAACAACUAUACGUGUCUUCAGUUAAUAUUCAAUACUCUGUACAGUCACAACACCAAAGCCUUGCUAGAUUAUGCUUUUAAUUCAAUUUGUUAUCUCCCCUGCUUUAGUGUGCUAUCAUAUAAUUUUUUGUGUCACAUCCCUGCACAAUUUGUUCUAUGCUUUUUUACAGUAUAAAUAGCGACUUGACAUUAUUUAGCUCUAUUAUAAUAUUGUUAUAUUAUUAUAUUUAAAGUAAAACUGUUAACAUAUUCUAUGCUGUUUUAAUAUAAAUGUUUUGCUGUUACCAUGAAUACAGUUUUGAGUUUUUGUCCGAUAUCUUAGAGGAGAAAUUUUCCAUAAAUAAUAAUAAUACGGCUUAUCUUCAAGUCCGAAGAUUAAUUAGAAGUAUGCAGUAUUUCCCGUGGAUGUGCAGCCCCAGCUAGGACCUACAUAUUUUGCUAUAAAUAAAGAGUAUAAUAAUAUUUACUACUUGGUAUUGUCAGUCUUCACUAAAGCAAUGAGUUUAUCCCCUUAGUGUGUUUAAAACUUUCAAAUACUAAUUCACUUUGUAUUAUCUAUUGGUGAUCAUGGGGUAUCCACUUUGUCAUCUCCAUAGUCUCUGGUGUUAACACUCACUGUCCUGUUGGAGGUUAGGGCUAGGAUGUUAUCUCUCUUUCUGAUGGAACACAUGUAAAACCAACAAAACAAACAUUAGACCUAGACUUUAUUAAAGGUAAAUUUUUAUAAUUGUGAACUGGCACUCCCAAAACUACUUUUAUGUAUUUUUAAUUUUACUUCUGUAGGCUAGUGCUAAGCUGUAUACUUGUAUUUCUGCCUAUUAUAUGGGUUAGGGUGGAGUACUUAAAAUAGAGCCUAUGUUGUUUCCUGUACUGUUGACCAGUGGUCUCUGUGUCAGUUUUAAUUAUUCUGUACCUGGGACUGCCUGUAAGUUUCAGAAUUUUUCUUUUAUUUUUAAAAAUUUUACUAUGUGUAAAUCUACUUUAUAUUUGAACAACUGUCAAAAUAACUAGCAGUUUUUUUUUUCUAAAGUUUGUUUUAAAACUAUGGCCAAGUCCUGCCCAGUGCUGUCAUGAUGACCACUUCUAAUGUUUAUGUACUAGAUUGUAACUGCUGCCUUAGUCAUUGAAAUUAAAGUCUCAUUUUUGAA